rnacentral:rRNA from 1 species
GAGAAGCUUGCUUCUUGGGUGGCGAGUGGCGAACGGGUGAGUAACAUAUCGGAACGUACCGAGUAGUGGGGGAUAACUGAUCGAAAGAUCAGCUAAUACCGCAUACGUCUUGAGAGGGAAAGCAGGGGACCUUCGGGCCUUGCGCUAUUCGAGCGGCCGAUAUCUGAUUAGCUAGUUGGUGGGGUAAAGGCCUACCAAGGCGACGAUCAGUAGCGGGUCUGAGAGGAUGAUCCGCCACACUGGGACUGAGACACGGCCCAGACUCCUACGGGAGGCAGCAGUGGGGAAUUUUGGACAAUGGGCGCAAGCCUGAUCCAGCCAUGCCGCGUGUCUGAAGAAGGCCUUCGGGUUGUAAAGGACUUUUGUCAGGGAAGAAAAGGCUGUUGCUAAUAUCAUCAGCUGAUGAC